GGUUGGGUAAAUAGUUUUAUUGUUUACUUUCAAGCAAUUUUGGUUUCUGGGGUGGGAAGCU
rnacentral:ncRNA from 2 species